CCUACGGGUGGCAGCAGUGAGGAAUAUUGGUCAAUGGACGGAAGUCUGAACCAGCCAUGCCGCGUGCAGGAAGACGGCUCUAUGAGUUGUAAACUGCUUUUGUACAAGGGUAAACCUGAAUACGUGUAUUCAGCUGAAAGUACUGUACGAAUAAGGAUCGGCUAACUCCGUGCCAGCAGCCGCGGUAAUACGGAGGAUCCAAGCGUUAUCCGGAUUUAUUGGGUUUAACGGGUGCGUAGGCGGAUUGAUAAGUUAGAGGUGAAAUGUCCGAGCUUAACUCGGGAACUGCCUCUACUACUGUUGAUCUAGAGAGUAGAUGAGGUAGGCGGAAUGUAUGGUGUAGCGGGGAAAUGCUUAGAGAUCAUACAGAACACCGAUUGCGAAGGCAGCUUACCAAUCUAUAUCUGACGUGGAGGCACGAAAGCGUGGGGAGCAAACAGGAUUAGAUACCCCAGUAGUC
rnacentral:rRNA from 1 species